rnacentral:rRNA from 1 species
AGGACGAACGCUGGCGGCGUGCUUAACACAUGCAAGUGGUGCGACGAACCAGGGCUUGCCCUGGGGCAAAGCCGCGAACGGGUGAGUAACACGUGGGUAACCUGCCCCGAUGACCGGGACAACCCGAGGAAACUCGGGCUAAUACCGGAUGUGGUGCACAGGCAUAAGCUUGUGUACUAAAGGAAGCUUCGGCCUCCGCAUUGGGAGGGGCCCGCGGCCCAUUAGCUAGUUGGUGGGGUCACGGCCUACCAAGGCGACG